rnacentral:rRNA from 1 species
AUUGAACGCUGGCGGCAUGCCUAACACAUGCAAGUCGAACGGCAGCACAAUAAAGAUUUCGGUCUUUAUGGGUGGCGAGUGGCGGACGGGUGAGUAACGCGUAGGAAUCUGUCCUGGAGAGUGGGAUAACCCGAGGAAACUCGGGCUAAUACUGCAUGACAUCGAGAGAUCAAAAGCAGGGGACCGAAAGGCCUUGCGCUCUGGGGUGAGCCUACGUCGGAUUAGCUAGUUGGUGGGGUAAAGGCCUACCAAGGCGACGAUCCGUAGCUGGUCUGAGAGGAUGACCAGCCACACUGGGACUGAGACACGGCCCAGACUCCUACGGGAGGCAGCAGUGGGGAAUCUUGGACAAUGGGGGAAACCCUGAUCCAGCGAUGCCGCGUGUGUGAAGAAGGCCUUCGGGUUGUAAAGCACUUUAGGUGGGGAAGAAAGGUAGCGAGUGAAUAACUUUCUGCUGUGACGGUACCCACAGAAUAAGCACCGGCUAACUCUGUGCCAGCAGCAGCCGCGG